rnacentral:piRNA from 1 species
UGGCUAUGGUGCUCUGGACAAGGAAUGUGA